rnacentral:rRNA from 1 species
GGCGGCGUGCCUAACACAUGCAAGUCGAACGAGAAAGGGUAGCAAUACCUGAGUAAAGUGGCGCACGGGUGAGUAACACGUGACUAACCUACCCUGGAGUGGGGGAUAACUGAGGGAAACCUUAGCUAAUACCGCAUAAUACCCACGGGUCAAAGGAGCAAUUCGCUUCAGGAGGGGGUCGCGGCCGAUUAGUUAGUUGGCGGGGUAAUGGCCCACCAAGACGAUAAUCGGUAUCCGGCCUGAGAGGGCGCACGGACACACUGGAACUGAAACACGGUCCAGACUCCUACGGGAGGCAGCAGUGGGGAAUUUUGCGCAAUGGGGGAAACCCUGACGCAGCAACGCCGCGUGGAGGAUGAAGUCCUUCGGGACGUAAACUCCUUUCGAUCGGGACGAUNAUGACGGUACCGAGAGAAGAAGCCCCGGCUAACUUCGUGCCAGCAGCCGCGGUAAUACNAAGGGGGCGAGCGUUGUUCGGAAUUAUUGGGCGUAAAGGGUGCGU